rnacentral:rRNA from 1 species
CAAUAGCGUAUAUUAACGUUGUUGCAGUUAAAAAGCUCGUAGUUGGAUUUCUGGAGGGAGCGUCGGCCCGUAUUUACGAGUGCGUGACGUCUCUGUCCAUCCUUGCGGGAAGGCACGGCAUUGAUUUGUUGUGUCGGAUCGCAUCAUUUACUGUGAAAAAAUUAGAGUGUUCAAAGCAGGCUUUCGCUUGAAUACAUUAGCAUGGAAUAAUAAGAUAGGACUUUGGUGCUAUUUUGUUGGUUGAGCCUAAAGUAAUGAUUAAUAGGGAUAGUUGGGGGCACCUGUAUUGCGUUGUCAGAGGUGAAAUUCUUGGAUUUACGCAAGACAAACUGCUGCGAAAGCGUCUGCCAAGGAUGUUUUCAUUA